rnacentral:rRNA from 1 species
AAACUAGGAUUAGAUACCCUAUUAUUUUAGGAGCUUAACAUUGUAAGUAAUGGCGUAUCUUAAGCUUUUCAGAGGAAUUUGCUCUAUAAUGGAUAAAACACCUUAAUCUUACUUUAAUUGGUGUAAAAACAGUUUGUAUACCACUAUUAAAAUAAUAAUAUACAAUUAUUAUUAAAGUAUAUUAUUUAUGUAUUUAAAUAAAGUUAAGUCAAGGUGCAGCAAAAAUUAAAGUAUGAAGUGAAUUACACUGCUUUUUAGAUAAGAAAAUGAAAAUAAGUUUAGGAUUUGAAAGUAAAAUUAAAAUAGGAAGUUAAUUUGAAUUAAGCUCUAGGAUAUGUACAUAUCGCCCGUCACUCUUUAUUAAGAUAAGUCGUUACAUAG